CAAUAGUAAAUAAAAUUCAAAUAUUUCUAUUUUCUAUCCAGAGACCAGCCAGAGAUUUCGAGAUUACUGAAAAUAUUUUUGGUUUACAAGCUAAAGAAUCCAAACCUUUUAUAUGAAAAACGCUCAGGAUUCAAGAAAAAUUCACUCUUACGGGAAAUAAUUUGGAGGAUUAAAUCAGUUUUCAAAAACAAACCCACUUACUGCACUAAAUAAAAUGGAAUGUUUGUUGUACGUUGUAUAGAGGCAGAUAGAGGAUAUGAUUGGAAAUGCUAAAGCAUAAUGCCCUAAAAUGGAAUGUUAUUGUCAAGGGACAAAGAAAGCUCUUACUGAUUUAUUAGACAGGACUCGUUUAAGUUAGUAGAAGAUACAGAGGUGACUUUAACGAAUUUAUAGCUAAUAUGGUCAAAAUAAUGGCAUAUCUUUAACUGCUUUUUUCGAUAGAAAAAAUAGCUGAGAUUUUACAGGUUCAUUUACAAACCUUAGAAGAAAUUGAACUUAAUACUGAACAAAUUUGUGGAAUAUUAGAAUUUUUGUUUAUCGCCAUUUAUGUAUAACUUAUGCAAAUAUAUGAAAGAAUAU